GCGGCUACGGUAAAUCCCCAAAAGAUCUAAAUCUAAUUUUGCAGAGAUAUUCUAUAGUUCUUCGGUGGUUCAACAUAGCCCCUUAAGAACAGCCAUUUACUUCCCCAUUUUUUCUUUUUCUAAUUGAAUAAUGGAUUCUGUAAUGCCGUUGAGAACCACCACCGCCGCCACGGCAACGGCGGCCUCUGCAGCGGCGACGGUAAGACCCCGGUUCUCAUUUCAACUCCUUGCCAAUCCCAGACCUAGGAAACCGGCAUUCUCCUUGUCAGUUCCAACGACUAUUUUCACGACACACCGAGCUCGAAUUUUGCCCCAAUUUACACCAGUUCGAGCUCAAGAGGAUAAUUCAGCUUUGGUUUCUGAAUCCACCAUUCCUGAAGGAGAUGCUCUCAAAAUCAAGGAGUGGGAAGUAGAAAGAUUCCAAGAUGAAAUUGCUGCAAGUCAGGGUAUAAAAAUUAGAAGGAGGCCGACAACAGGACCUCCUUUGCACUAUGUUGGUCCUUUUGAAUUUCGCAUGCAGAAUGAAGGCAAUACUCCUAUUAACAUUCUAGAAGAAAUUAUCUGGUACAAGGACAAGGAAGUCUCACAGAUGAAAGAGAAGAAACCGCUUCUUCUACUGAAAAAACUGCUUAGCAGUGUUCCACCUACCAGGGAUUUUCUAGGAGCUCUGAGAGAAUCAUAUUCAAGAACUGGAUUGCCUGCUCUUAUUGCUGAAGUGAAGAAGGC
rnacentral:misc_RNA from 1 species